rnacentral:rRNA from 1 species
UACGGAGGGUGCAAGCGUUACUCGGAAUUACUGGGCGUAAAGCGCACGCAGGUGGCUGAGUCAGUCGAUUGUGAAAGCCCUGGGCUUAACCUGGGAAUUGCAGUCGAUACUACUCAGCUAGAGUAUGGGAGAGGGGAGUGGAAUUCCCGGUGUAGCGGUGAAAUGCGUAGAUAUCGGAAGGAACACCGGUGGCGAAAGCGGCGCGCUGGACCCCUACUGACGCUGAGGCACGAAAGCCAGGGGAGCAAACGGG